CGUUCUGGGCUGUGGGGAACUACUCAUUUCCCCCCUGAGCAGUUAGUAAGUUGACCAGCUGACCUUUAAUAAUUGCCUGUAAUUGUUGGAUUGUAGCUUCACCAGAGACUUUAGAAAGUUAAUGGAAAGGAAAUCAUGACACUGUUCUCUAUCGUAUAGGUUUGAGUUGAGCGAUUGAGCUCCGUUUUCCCAAAGGGUGUAUAUUUUAUGCGCUAGUAAAUCUGAUAGAAAUGAGAUGGAAAGAUGGACCAGUAUCUUUCUAUAGUUAUCUACUUUGCUUUGUUCCUCUUUUCUUUUGAGCUCUUCCUUCUCUCCACAGACCCUCAUGGUGACGUCCCAGUGAACAAAGCUGGAUUGUGGGAAAGCGUGGGCAAUGGCGGCUCGGUCACACACGCUAGUCAAGCACCCCGCCUGAGCAAGCGUUACGCCCGAGUCAUUUUUGGACAGGAAUUUUUUUUCUCCCAAAUUUCAUUUGCAUAAUCCUUCACUAAACACCCCUCAAACGUGCAUGCGCACACACACACACACACACACUCUUUCACUCUGCACACACAUCUAUUGGACCAUGUUCAAUAUAAGGUUGACGGACACUUCAGAGAAAGCAGAACUACACUCAACAGUACAAUUCAAGUAGGUGAUGGAAGAUUUGCUUUUAUUCUGUGGCUCUAUUGAACUGCUGCUGUUUCUCAUGGAUGCUGGAACAAAAGCUGUGAAGUGUUUGGUCUCAUGUACCCGCAAAGGUUCCUUAAACUCCUCUGAUUAGCUCUUAUUGUGUAUGCCAGCGGGUCGCUGGUUCUAAUCAGGUGGUCUUUGGUCAGCUCUGCAUCUGGGACUAAUCGGGCUGUGGUUUAACCCCUUCCUACCAGCACUUUAAUGUCUGCACCACCAAACUGGUGAUGUCAUCACCCUUCUUUUACCUCUUUUUCCCAGGCGUGUUUGUGAGUCAUUAUCAGACGGGUGAGGGCAGAAGAACAGAAGACACACAGACAUCAGAGCACCAGGAGGAACAGCAUGUGACCCAGUCCUCACAUUCAGGCAAGAUACCUCAGGAAGAAUACAGUCCGAUUUCUAUAGCGAUUAAUAAAAACCAUCAAGAUCUUACUGAGAUUCAUAGGCUGAUAUAACUGACUUUAACAACACAAUCCACACGCUUCUCAAAACUUUGAUACAGCUACUGGAUUAAUUAAAAAAUAA